AAGAUUUUAAGUUAACAAAACUAACAUCCUUCAAAGUUGUAAAAAAAAGUAAACCCUUUUAAAUCUUA
rnacentral:tRNA from 1 species